rnacentral:rRNA from 1 species
UAGUAAGAGCGACGGGCGAUGUGUGCAUGUUUUAGAGCUAUAAUCAAAUAAAUUAUAUUCAUUAUUUUACUUUUAAAUCCACCUUAAAAUCAUUAUUUCAAAUAAUUUAACGUAUAAAUAAAUUUAUUGUAACCCAUCUCUACUAAAAUAUAAACUGCACCUUGACCUGACAUCAAUUAUAUUAUUAAAUUAAGAAAAUUAUUCCUCUUUUAAGAUAUUCUGAUAACGGCGAUAUACAAAUUGAAAACAAAUUUAAGUAAGGUCCAACGUGGAUUAUCGAUUACAGGACAGGUUCCUCUAAAUAGACUAAAACACCGCCAAAUUCUUUAAGUUUGAAGAACAUAUCUAUUACUACUCAAGUAUUAAUAUUUACUUUUUAAAUAAUAGGGUAUCUAAUCCUAGUUUA